AAUAGUAUAUAGUAAUACAUGGUCUUUUUUGGCGGUGGGGGGGGGGAAAGUCACCAAACCAAUAUUUUCGUGUUUUCUUUAGCAAUACAAAUUUUAGGAAACAAUAAUCCUCCCAUAGGGCCGUAGGGAAGAUGAAGAAUAAUAUUAAAUCUGUAUUUUUGAAUAGAUAUUAUGUGAUGGAUGAAAAUAAGGUUCAAAAAUCUGCAUAAUUGUAGCUUAAUAUAUAUCUCUGAUCGGUAAUCGAAAAUGCAGAUAAAAUUGUAUGCAGACGUUUUGCUUCGAAAAUUGUUUAUGCGAUUUGUCUGUAGAAAAUGUUUUCGAUUAACACCAAAAGUAUCAUGCCAUAUUUCGAGGGGAACCAGCGAGGUGUACAGUCCCCGGGUGUACCCCCUUUGAUACUGUACAUAAAAAUUGUUUACUUAAUCUUGAAUUUGAUGUGGGGAAGCAAAUUGGCGAUUUUGUGAUAGUAUAAAAGUCUCUGGACCUCUUCCCUAUCGAACAAACUGUGAUUGCGCCACUGAUAUAUUCGUGCAUAAUUUUUUUUUUCACAAGUGCUUAACAUUUGUAUUCUUUACACACUAGGUCCCCAUAUAUAUAUAGUAACUAUAGUUACUAUAGUAACUCGAGUUCAGUACAGUACAAAUAGUUUUUCGCGUUUAAAGAUUUAUCAUUGUUAGCGAAUAAUAAUUAAUAUAAUAUAAUAAAUAACAAUAUAUAAUAUGCAACACACAGAGUCGAACAAAGAGAAACAAGUGUCU